GUUUGAGGUUUGGCUGCUUUGCCCUUUUCUCCUCAUGUCCUUCCAGGAGGGAUUGGGAUGAGCCGAGCAGUGCAGCGCAGCCACUCUUUGGGGAGCGGAGUGGGUGCAUCGGAUGGUGCCUUUGGUUGCAACGCAGCCCCCGUUAACUUCCUGAGGUGGGUUUCACAUGAGCAGCAUCAUAACCAUCAGCUCUACAAGCAGGACGUAGGAAGGCCAAAUGUGCGUAAUUACCACUCAGAUGCUAAUUACCUGCACUGGGCCCAAACCCAAUGCACCAAAUGCCGCUCACAGGAGUGCUCUCAGGACCCCACAGCUGAG
ensembl:lncRNA